CCCUUAGAUGUUCUGGGCCGCACGCGCGCUACACUGAUGCAUUCAACGAGUUUCUUCCUGGUCCGAGAGGAAUGGGUAACCUUUUGAAAGUGCAUCGUGAUAGGGAUAGACUAUUGCAAUUAUUGGUCUUCAACGAGGAAUUCCUAGUAGACGUAGUUCAUCAGACUGCAUCGAUUACGUCCCUGCCCUUUGUACACACCGCCCGUCGCUCCUACCGAUUGAAUGCUCAGGUGAGCCAUUCGGACUUUCAUCAUGCUGGUUUCCAGUUUUGAUGAAGGAAAGUCUUGCGAACCUUAUCAUUUAGAGGAAGGAGCAGUCGUAACA
rnacentral:rRNA from 1 species